UCUUUGCAGCCUUGUGACGUCGCCCCUCGCAGGAACUGUUGCCUGUGGGUACAACAAGGUUGCAGAAAUCAACUCAAAGAAUGAAAAGGCGUGACUUCUGGAGGCUCAGGAGCUUCACGUGCGAUCUUCCUUGGACAGACCCCCUGCUUUCCACGGUGGUGAUGGUCUCGCUCUGUAGCCAUCACCUUUCUUGAAGCAGGUAGAGUAAAACCUGGCAGCCAGAUAUUGUUUGAAGCAGGGGAAGCUCUUCCUGUCAGACACUUUCAGCUGUCACAGUC
rnacentral:snoRNA from 1 species